GCUAAAGGGAAAUGAUAAAAAGAUGCACAGAAUCUCCUGUUACCUCAAACUACUGUUUAAUAUUUAGAAGGCAAGAAAGUACUGCAAAACUGACAUCUUAAACUUAACAGUUUUGUUGUGUCAUUUUUCUAUCACCCCUAAUUCAUGAAAUAGGUAAGUGCCAACAUCUGUUUCCAUUUUACAGCUCUGAGAAACUACUUUGAUUAUUAACUCUGACAUGGUAGAAUUGCAAUCUUCAGGCAAUUCAGCAUUUAGAAAGAAUAUUUCCUACUGUAUUUUCCUUCUGUAUGUAUUCAGAAAAGUACUGUGCUGUUGGUGAGUUUACAUAUAAGAGAGGCAACCCAUACUCCUUGGGAUGGACUAAUUUCACUAAUUUAGAUUAACAAUUUACCACCAGCAUUUUUGAUGACAAAGCAUGGUCUGCCACCACAUCUACUGAGCUAAUGUUAAGUGUAUUUUAAUUGAAAUAGACUGAUUCACAUCUUACUAUAAGCCUUUUACAUAAUGAAAGGAUGAGUGUAAAGGAAGCAAUGCUGCCAUUUGCAAGAAGUUUGUAGAUCUUUUUUCCUUGCUUAUCAUAUUGUUCCAGGCAUGCAGAAGAUCAUUUACACUGUCCUCAGAAAAAAAAGGUACAAUAAGAAGGACUAAAAUCUCCUUUCUUACUAUUGCUGAAAACACAAAGACCUACAGCUGUUCAUAUUCAGGUACUUAUUACACAUUAAAAGCUCUUAUGUUACACAGAUAUUUGAAUUGACUUUAUGACUUUAAAUGAAAGAAUGUACAAUUUGAAAUAGGUUCUACAGUAAUCCGUACCCAGAUGCUUAUACGGAGUUCAGUUUCAAUGUGAUGCACACAAGGGAAAGUAAUUUCUGUCUUAGAAUCUCUUCGGUCACUCAGGUGCAAGUUUUGAUUGCUUAAACGAAUGUAUUAAAACAAUAAUAUUUUGUGUUCUUUGCCAAAAUUCAUUUCUAUAAUGUGUCAUAAACAUCAUUACAUUUUUGUACAUUUAUACAUAAUGAAGUAGUUAUGCAAGUUUCUGAGCCAGACUGAUAUAUAGAGAGCUAAAUUUCACCCUUGAGUAAGUGAAUCAGAAGGGAGAGAUGAACAUAAGUGAAGUGAAAAAGGAGUAUGAAUAGACUAUUAAGAAAAAACUAGAAAUGGGGUUACUGAAUCUAAUUUUCAUUGAAAAGUUAAGAAGUGAAGUUAGGUAGGCAAAAUUCCAAGCACACUCCAGGAGCAUUGAGCUGAUUUAUUGAGCUGAGAGGUAAAUAUUCGGGAAGCCAAAGCCAAGUGUGGAGGUUAUAACAUGAAGGCACACGUGCAUGCUGAAAUGCUAAUUUCCUGCCAGUUGGUGCAAGAAACAGAAGAGUUUCUUAUGUUCAGGUGCUAGGUGUUCCAGUGGUUGAUUAGAAUAUGCAGGGCCUAUAUUUUUCUGCCCUGACAUAGUCCUUGUUUUGCAUAUGUUCUGUCAUCAGUUGUGACAGUACAGGACAAAAUAGUGGCAACAUCUGUUUUUUCCCUAAUAAUAAUUAUUACUCCCCAUGGGCAAAUUUGCCAGCCCUUGUGAGCUUGAAAUCUUGUGCUUCUUGGAAAACACAGUUUGAUUAGAAGCUACUGAAGAAUGUUCUUUAAAAAAAAAAUGUUUUCAGUGCCUAAGAGCUAUAAUGCGGAAGUGUGACAAUGUCCUUCUAACACUACAGUUGCCUCCCACCAUUUGUUGAAGCAUGACAGGUGAAAUUCUUAGCAAACUGAAGUUAAUAGUAGUUUUGCCAUUAACUUCAAAGUCAGGAUCUCAUUUUUUUUUGUUUCUACCACCAGGUAAAUGUUGCUUGUUGUCUUGCUGCUGAGAUUCCAUUAAAUAUUUUAGGCAGAAGCAAACAACAAGCAUGAAUUCAUUAGUGUUGUUCUUCCAACUCUUCAUUUUAAUCAUCUGUUCCUGCAUGUUUCAUUGAAUGCAAUGAAAUGUCUUUGCUAUUCCUAUGGCAGUAACAACUUUAUGGGACAUUAAUGCUAGAAUAUAAUACAAUUCCUUGUACAGGAAAUGUAUAUGUGAAUGACUUCUGUACUAAAAUGAUUUUGUUGGUAAGGUAAACACAGUACAUUUUAAAUGUACUUAGAGUGACAGUCCCAUAAUAUAUUACUUAGAGUUUUGUAGUGAGUGUGUGAAUGCUCACUGCUGUGCAGAGGUUCAAUCAUACUAUGAAAUAAACCUUGCUUUAAAGGGAGAAACA
rnacentral:lncRNA from 1 species